rnacentral:rRNA from 1 species
AUACGUAGGGAGCGAGCGUUGUCCGGAAUUACUGGGUGUAAAGGGUGCGUAGGCGGGACUGCAAGUCAGAUGUGAAAUGCCGGGGCGCAACCCCGGAGCUGCAUUUGAAACUGUGGAUCUUGAGUGGGGUAGAGGUAAGCGGAAUUCCUAGUGUAGCGGUGAAAUGCGUAGAUAUUAGGAGGAACAUCGGUGGCGAAGGCGGCUUACUGGGCCUUUACUGACGCUGAGGCACGAAAGCGUGGGGAGCAAACAGGAUUAGAUACCCUGGUAGUCCACGCUGUAAACGAUGAUGACUAGGUGUGGGGGGACUGAACCCUUCCGUGCCGCAGUUAACACAAUAAGUCAUCCACCUGGGGAGUACGGCCGCAAGGUUGAAACUCAAAUGAAUUGACGGGG